UCAAGCGAAAGAGGGGCGUGUCCGUGGGGCCCGUGGCGGAGGAUGGAGAGCAUGUCAGAUGCAAAGGGCUUGGGUGGGAGGAAACACAUGGUCUUAGGGGAACUGAAAGAAAACAGGCAGCCAGGCAGCCAAAAGCAAGAAAGACUGUGGUGAGACUCGGGCAAAGCUAGCUCUUCCCUGGCUUCGGACGCCAUGGUGAAGGAUUCAAUUUUAUCCCAUGGCAUUGGGGAGCUACGAGAAGGCUCUGAACAGAACUUGCGGAAGAAGUUGAAGGCCACCACGGUGUACAGGCAGGCCCCCCGCCACACCUGCUUCCCAUUAUGGGUGACGGAGGACAGGAUGGUGCGCAGCGUCUUGACCCCCAUGGCAAUGUCCAGGAGGUGGGCCGCAAAGAAGAAGUUGUUGUAGUGUCCCAGGAGGGACAUCACCAUGUACCAGCCCAGGGAGCGUCUGGAGGAUUGGGAGCACUCUGCAGUAAUGGAGCACUCUGGCACGUGUGCUUGAAUGCGUAGAAGUUCAAUGUGCCUUCGAUGGUGACGAUGAGAGCACAGGAUGUCCUUGGUGUGGUUUCUCUCCCUCCUCUCACCGCUUCUCCUGGGCAGGACCCCACAAUAGAAGAACUUCCAACACUUAUCCAGGGCUCACUGCGCCCCGGAAACCACGUGAGUUCGUCUCGUUUCAUCGUUACGAGACCCUCGGUGCUACUGUUUGUCCUCUUUUUACAGAUUAGGAAACUGAGGCACAGAGAGGCUAAAUGACUUGGCCAAGAAUUCCUAGCUAGCAUGUGGUCAACCCAGGCUGCCUGACCUUGCGUUCUUAUUCUGGAGAUGAUGAGCCCCUGCUGCAUGAACACACGAAACUGGAC